rnacentral:rRNA from 1 species
AACGAACGCUGGCGGCAUGCCUAACACAUGCAAGUCGAACGAGACCUUCGGGUCUAGUGGCGCACGGGUGCGUAACGCGUGGUAACCUGCCCUUAGGUUCGGAAUAACUCCCCGAAAGGUGUGCUAAUACCGGUUAAUGUCUUCGGACCAAAGAUUUAUCGCCUUUGGAUGGGCCCGCGUUGGAUUAGCUAGUUGGUAGGGUAAAAGCCUACCAAGGCGACGAUGCAUAGCUGGUCUGAGAGGAUGAUCAUCCACACUGGGACUGAGACACGGCCCAGACUCCUACGGAAGGGAGCAGUGGGGAAUAUUGGACAAUGGGCGAAAGCCUGAUCCAGCAAUGCCGCGUGAGUGAUGAAGGCCUUAGGGUUGUAAAGCUCUUUUACCCGGGAUGAUAAUGACAGUACCGGGAGAAUAAGCACCGGCUAACUACGUG